GUCUCUUUGACCACAAAUCUGUUUCUAUUUGUUCAAUAAAAACUUCAGUUUGAUUUUAUAUCUAAAUAUUUCAAGAAUUAAUGAAACAGAUGAAAGUUUUUCAGCCACAAAACAAACCGAAUGGAAAAAUAUUUGUAUCAUAAUUAACACAAAACUGUUCAUACGAAACCUGAGUUAUUGAAGUGACUGAGAUCAACGUAAACAAUGAAAACCUCAGAGGCCACCGUAGAUUCUCUGACAGCAGAGGUGAGCGUGGAGCGAUUUAAGAACUGACGUGUUUUUUUAGAGGAGAGUGUUUGAAAAAAGUCAGAGACACACGUCUGUGUCUGUGUGUCUGUGUGUCUGUGUCUGUGUCUGUCUGUGUCUGUGUCUGUGUCUGUGUGUCUGUGUCUGUGUCUGUGUGUCUGUGUCCGUGUCUGUGUCCGUGUCCGUGUCCGUGUCCGUGUCCGUGUCUGUGUCUGUGUCCGUGUCUGUGUCCGUGUCCGUGUCCGUGUCCGUGUCUGUGUCUGUGUCCGUGUCUGUGUCUGUGUCUGUGUCUGUGUGUCUGUGUCUGUGUCCGUGUCUGUGUGUCUGUGUCUGUGUCUGUGUCCGCGCCGUUCAGUUCAGUUCACCUCCAGCUGAAGUUUUCUGUGUGAGGGAAAAAUCUUUAAUUUUGACUUUUGAUGAAACACCACAGACGUUUAUGAAACACCACAGACGUUCAUGAAACACUACAGACAUUUCUGAAACACCACAGACGUUUAUGAAACACCACAGACGUUCAUGAAACACCACAGACGUUCAUGAAACACCACAGACGCUCGUGUUCAGAGUCCUGACUGAGAAAAGCUUCAAUCUUCUGAUUUUCAGGUUCCUGCUCCUCUCCACCGUCUGUCCACUGGGGGGCGCUCUACUCCUGCUGUCUGCAGCUGUGAGCGGGUGGAUUUCUCUACAGCUGUGUGUGUGUGUGUGUGUGUGUGUGUGUGUGUGUGUGUGUGUGUGUGUGUGUGUGUGCGUGUGUGUGUGUGUGUGUGCGCCCCCUCUUCAUCAGCGUGAAGCACAUGAAUGAAUGAAGACAUGAAGGUGUGAACACAGGUGAG